CCCUUUGCCUGAGAUCUCUGUGACCA
rnacentral:piRNA from 1 species